UACGUAGGGUGCAAGCGUUGUCCGGAAUCAUUGGGCGUAAAGAGCGUGUAGGCGGCUUGAUCAGUCCGCUGUAAAAGUCCAGGGCUCAACCCUGGAAGGCCGGUGGAUACUGUCAGGCUAGAGUCCGGAAGAGGCGAGUGGAAUUCCUGGUGUAGCGGUGAAAUGCGCAGAUAUCAGGAGGAACACCAAUGGCGAAGGCAGCUCGCUGGGACGGUACUGACGCUGAGACGCGAAAGCGUGGGGAGCAAACAGG
rnacentral:rRNA from 1 species